GGUUGCUAUGGGCAACUGGUCAACUUUUCCUCUGCACAGGUUUUGAUAAAUCUCCCCCUCUGUGGCCAGCAUAUUCCACAGCACUUAGUAAUUCCAUAUGACAGCUCUGCAUGCUAGCAGUGAGAUGCCUGACUAAGCCAUGCAUCAGCAAAGAUCAACCAGUGGUCUGUUUUAUCUUCAACAACAGCUUUUACGAAACAAUUUAAAGGGGUACUCAGGUGGAAAACGUUUUUUUUUUUUUUUUUAAAUCAACUGGUGCCAGAAAGUUAAACAGAUUUGUAAAUGAAAUACAUAAAGAAGCACGUACGUGCACUCACCACAUAGCAGAGACAGUCAGGUGCGAAGAUACGGUGACGGGGUGAAGGAUCUCGGCAUCGGCGCUGGCGUGUGGCGCUCGGAGGCUACAAUGGCAGUUUCGCACAAUGUGUAUCCAUACAUCCCACUUAAAUAUACUGCGCAAAGAUAUAAUACUCUGAAGCAGCCAAUUGUAAGAACAAACAAGUGACUUCAAAGCUACCUAAGAUUUCUGUGUUUGUGAUGUCGAUUUCCGGUGCUGAAUAAUAAUUUGCCGUGUAGCUGUUGUGGUCGUCUGGGAGUUGACAGUUCUUCACAGCUUCUUCCAACUCUGAAUCUAUAGAUGAGCUGUCCGUCUGCAAAAGAACAAGAAGAGAAUUCAUGGCACAGCGGAAGUUUGCUUUCCAAGUUUUUGGAUCGGGUUCCUUCUCGCCAACUUUGAACUUUCCUGCAGGAAUGAAUAACAAAUACUUCAAAUGGCUGAAUAAAUACUUUGAAAGCAGAUCCAUGUUUGCAGAGGACUGCUUUGGAUUUUUUGGACUACGUCGAUGACCAGCGUUUUUUUUAUUUAAUAUUAAUAAAAUGGUUAACAAGGGCUUGUGGGGGGAGUACUUUUUUAAAUAAAAU